UGCAACAUGGGUGUAUAUUUAAAGUGUGCUGUAUUCCUUUUGUUAUCCCAUCUGUGAUUGCACUUUCCGAUGUGAAAUCAUACCACUUUCUCCUAGCGAGAGAUUCUGGCCUGGAGCACGGACCAUCUGUGUCAUCAAACCCCUGUCCAGCCUUCUGAUGCACACCGCGACACAUCAUUUGACACGCUGCUGACUCCUUCCGAAAAGCCAUACACACAGAUGGUCCCAACUGCAACUGCACCACCAUGCAGCAAUCUGUUCCAGACCCACACUGCACUGACUGAUGUUCCCCUGUCGCAGCUGGCCAGCGCUGAAUUGUCUCCUCGGUGACCACCACUGUUCUGUGACAUGGAACAUGAUUCAGCAGGGAUUGAGCCUCACCAGACAGAGGAAGCUCUCCCGUCCAUUGGAGUCGAAAGAAAUUCAAUGCUCCAUGCCGGAAACGACAUAAGGUUGGCCAAGGCAGUCUGGGACAAAGUUUUCCUCUACAAAGAGGAUUCUAUGUUCAUCAAACAGGCUGCCUUGGCCAUAUGGCCAGCAUCAGUCCUCAUCGAAAGGACAGUUUCUGGUACGCUGUCGAACCGUGCGAUA